ensembl:lncRNA HULC hepatocellular carcinoma up-regulated long non-coding RNA
AGAGACGCUAGGCCGGCACUGCCUAGGUGGGCCGGGCGGUGCGAGGGUCGCCUUUCAGCCUUUACCUCUACCCACUGAAAUGGAGUAGGUCGGUGAGCGCCGAUCUGCUGGAGAAUCUCAUUAUCCCAUCGGCGCUCUGCCUGCUCCUGGCCUCCAAGCCUCUGAAGCCCCUCGGGUUUCAGCUGCCGGCUACCCUCGAGCCCGUGGUGCCCACGAGAGAGGCGACUUUACGUCAGCGGCCCUGGGCUGAGAUUUGAGAACGCGACCAAGUGGAGAAUGUUGGAGCCAGAUUUUAAAAUCCUUGUCUUCCUUCUGCGUGCUACUUGAUCUAAAUGAGAUACGGCAAAGUCACAGAACCUGUUUUUAUGUUUUUGCCUGAUUCAUACGGGCUUCUCCGGUGAAGAUGGGCCUGAAGUAACGCUUGGGUUGCUUCUGACGUUAUAACUCAUCCUGUAGCUGCAGCAACCGUGGUCCUUGCAACCUCAUAAAAAUGUUGCCAGCAUUGUUUCGAUAGUGCUGCUUAAUUCUUGGAAGGUUCUUCGGACUUCACACAUUCCAGCAGUAGCUCUCUCAGCUCCUGUCCUGCACAGCUUUGAAGUGCUGGUGAUGUCAUUGAACUCUUAAGUGCAAGAUGAAACAAGUCUUUCUGGGGUUCUAAGUAGAGUACUGAGCUGUCUCCGAAGAAUUCAGAUUAUUGAAUGUAGGCACCCUUUUCUGAUUUCCUUCAUCAAUUCAAUUCAGGAGAUGUGAUGCAAUGUGAUGUGUCAAUGUAUGUAUGAUCGAAGUGUCAGUCUCUAUAAGUACUCCGCUCCAUGAUCCUGGGGUGAAGUGCUACAAAACACAUUUUUGGUGGAGCAGAAAUAGUGCUGCCUUUCCUGUGCUUCCCACGGCUGUUGUAGAUAGAAAGCAAUGAAUUCAGAAUUCUCAAGUCGGCCAGGCCAUCUUCUCAGUGAGCUUUGCCUCAGGCACCCUAGAUAUUACCACAUGAGAGCUAUAUUUCAUCUGUUCUUAAAUUUUUGCAGCUAAAGGACCACAUUUGAGGGUCGAAAUCCCUGCCACAAAACCAACCUUACCACCUUCUACUACUCAUAAGAAAAAUCCAUCAGAAUUUACUGGAAUUUAUUGCAAGAAUGACCUUCCAUUUCAUGAGUUGACAAUGAUGUGAAGCCUGGUUUUAUCAACUAUCCAAGUAAAGUAGUAACUUCAAGUCUUUAAUAGUACACAAGAAUCAUUUACAGGUCAAGUAUGGAACCUCUAAUUAUGAAAAACUGAUUCUCAGAGCAUAUUUUACCAGAUAUUGUGAGAAACAGAGAAAAAGCAGUUAACAAUGAAAGUAAUUACUGGCCUUCAAAUUCAUUAUUAACAGCAAGUCAAAUUGAAAAGGUACUGGUUCUGUUCUCUGUCAUUGACGUGAGAGAAUAUGGUAGAAGUAAGCGGAGAAAGAGACUUGGAGGCCAUCUGCUCAGGCCCUUUCACUUUUCUUCAGAAGCAAAGUUGUUAAUUGCUCAAGGCCUUCAAGAUCCCCACAUUCCGUCUCUUUCCGUAGAACAUACAUGUGCCAGUAUCCAGAUUUCUUCACAUAUUCUUCUUUCCAUGUCUCCCAUUUCAAAGAAGUGUUCCUUCUCAGGUGUAAAGAGUGAGGCUAAUUGCCCUGUCUUUUCCCGCUAACUCAGCUCUUCCUGAAACAAGUACCUUUCCUCAUUUCUGUAAUUUUUCUUCUGCUUGCCAUAAAAGGAAAUCAAGUUGCAUACCAUUCAAAUCUCCCAUCAGCUUUGUGAUCUUUGGAAAUGUUUUUUUCACAUUUUCUAAUAGAAAAUUUCAUAUACAGUAUGUACGAAAUGGAGUGAAAUGAUAAGGUCCCAUUUAUACGACACUCAACUUCAAUAGUUUCUAACUCAUAGUAAUCUUGUUUCAUCUAUACUUGCACUCGCUGCCAUUCUGUCAGAUAAUUUUAAAACAAAUAUCAGAUAUUAUAUCAUUCUCUAGUAUUUAUCACUAACAUUUAAGAGCUAUUUUAUUAAACAUAAGAGUAAUGUCAGGGUCUGGGGUGUUGGCUCACGUCUGUAAUCUCAGCAUUUUGGGAAGUCGAGGCAGGCAGAUCACUUGAGGUUAGGAGUUCGAGACCAGCCUGGCUAAUACAGUGAAACCCUGUCUCUACUAAGAAUCCAAAAAUUAGCCAGGCAUGGUGGCGUAUGCCUGUGGUCCCAGCUACUUGGAGGCUGACAUGGGAGGAUGGUUUAAGCCCAGGAGGUGGAGGUUGCAGUGAGCUGAGAUCGCACCACUGCACUCCAGCAUGAGUGACAGAACUAGACUCUGUCUAAAAUUUUUUUAAAAAGUAAUGUCGUUAUCACAUGUAAAAAUUAACAAUGAUGCUUUAAUACCAUCAAAUAGCUAGUCAGUGUUUAUAUCUUCUCAAUUGUCUCAGAUAAUUUGUUAAAAGUGUUGAAUCAAGAUUCAAAUAAGACCAUAGUUUGCCAUCAGUUGAUGUAUCUCUUAAGUCUCCUCUCUCCUUCUGCAAUAUUUGUUGAAAAAUCUGUGUCGAGACGGGCGGAUCACGAGGUCAGGAGAUCGAGACCAUCCUGGCUAAUACGGUGAAACCCCGUC